UGUUUCUCCUCAGGAUGCUUUCUUUCAACAGUAUUUUUAACCAAAAUGUUUUUAAAUGUCCUGGUUUACUCCACUCCUCCUGACUCAGCCAUUCUGUUAAUUAUGUUUUCUCUUGGAGGUAUUUUUUCUCCUUUGAUUAUUGGAUUUCUUAUGUGUUGCCCCCUUCUUUCCCAAUCUGAUUUUGCCUCCUGUAUUUUCACUUAUGCUCUUUUAAGUCCAUUAAUUUCCUUUCUUCUGUAUCCUGGUUUUGUAUCUUGCAAAAAAUGUCAGAGGUGCCUCUCGUACUCCCUUUUUCUUUCUCUCUCUCUACUCCCCUUCCCCAUUCCUCAGUUCUGUUUUCCUUUGCCCCUACAGAUGAUACUUUCCUCCAGUGAUGCUUUCCCAAUGCCACUGGGCCCAGCCCUCUUUCCUUCCACAGUGACUCUGCUCUCUCUUCUGUCACACUCUGUAAACAGCAUGACACAAGCACUACACAUGGAGUUACAGAGCAGAGCUGGGAGGCAAAGCAGCAAGACAAGAUGGCCUGGACUGCCAGCACAGGCAGAACGCCACCAGGAAUACAUGAAACUUAGCGCAUUUCUGACUGACAGAAUACAUAUUCCAAACCAAAAGCACAGAUGACAAAGCAGACUUGGCUGCAGUAGCUACCUGGAAAUUCAGGGGCAGUUGUCUUUCUUAUCACUUCAUCUGUCGCAAGUCAGCUGUAAACCAGAGUCACCGAUCCCCAAAGCCUUCUUGCAAUACGAGGGAUCUCUCCUGAUGCUGAUGCUCAUCUGCCCUGACUCCUGAUCAAUCGGAAUUCAGCUGUCAGAUCUUGCUGGAGUGGAGGGGUGCUUACAUUAUACCUGAUCAUCCCUCAAGGGACCUCACCCGGUUUUACAACAUAACCCAUCGCAUCAGUCAACACAUCUCAGACUGCUGACAAGCUGGACGAGCUGGGUUCUAAUCCUAGCAACAUUUAAUCUCCAACCCUAAAUUACCAUGGAUUCUUAGACUAUUUGGUUUAGCCCAGGCCUAAUUCCAAUGUUACCAUUGAUUUGUUCUAUCAAUUUCCCCAUGGCCCUUUUAAUCAAUCCAUCUUUGUGCCUUCACACCUUUACAGUUUCACUGAUUGGCUCUGCUACCUUCAGCCUCUAUAGUGAAAUAGUACAAUGUUUCCAUUGUACUAUCCCCCUACAUCCCAUAUAUACCUCCUCCUCUCUUUGGUUCAGUAAAAUAAGCUCUUGAAAAGACCUCACUACCUUUCAGAAGUAUUCUGCUCUUCUAGUAAGAAUAUAAGUAAUAGUGUUUUUUCAUAAUGAUUUAAAACCCAAUAAAAAUGAAAAAAAUAUUAGUUGGUAGUUGCUGACUUCGAAGGAAUUUUUUUGUCAUUGAGAAGUAUUGGGACAUGUUUAUAUCAAUCUAGAUUGCAUGUCUAUGGUCAGUAAAUAGAACUAAAAUGUGGUAAGGAGUAAGACAAUCGCUGGACAAAAAAUAAGGUGCAAAUGGGGACAUUGUUGCAUUCUUUUCAUGAAAGACAUCUGGUGGUGCAGAGAGCCCAUUAGCCAUUCUGUUCUGCAUUAUCACCAUCAUUUAUCAGCAUCUACAUCACACGUCACAGCUACUAUCCUUUCUGGUACCCAUUGUGGUACCACAGAAUUUCUGGGGAACAUUUAGUUUAGACUCCUGGCUUCCACUUUAUGAUACACUAGGCCAUGUAUUAAUUGUGAUGUAAAUAGUUUUUUUCCCCAGUAUACGCCUAAGGAAACAUUUAGCAAAACAAAGUGGUGUGAUUUGGACAACUCCAGGAAGCAUAGCCAAAUAAAGCCACAGCACAACCUAGCCUGUCCUCUCUCUCAUAUGUUUCACUAGAACUAAAAGAAUAGCACACACUGGGUGGGGAGCGGGAAAAAUACAGCUAAUCAGCCACCAUCAGUGUGCAAGCUUCUUCCAGUGGAACUUGUCACCUGAGUCCUGUCUCAAAUUACUAUGAACAGUUAAAUCAGUAAAAAAAUCUGAUUCUUCUCUAAACCAUAGCCCUAUAUAUAUUUGUAUAUACAUGCUCUUCUGUCUGAGUUUUGUGUGCAUGGAAGUCUUGAGCACAGUUGAGAAAGUAAGUAGAGACCCCCUUGUAACUGUGAUCUACAGAGUUUAUAGAUAUUAUCUGGAGAGUUUCUGCCGGCCAUGUUAGAAUCGACAUUUGAGUAUAUGAUCCUACUAAUAUACCUUUCAAAGACCAAUAUAUUGAAAGAGAAAUGCCAAUUAAACUAGCUAAGCAGACUAAAUAAAAUACACUGUGGGCAUGUCUACACAAGACAUUUACUGAUCAGUUGACUAAUUAGCUGCAAAGUAAACAUUUGCAUAUCUACAUGUGAGCCCCUAUUAGGCUGGAGUAAAACAGCUCUGCCGCAGCGCACGUGUAGGUACUGAGCCAGCUGGCUGGGGCACAAGGUUAGCCCCACACUGAAGCACCCCCAUGCCCCAGCCAGCCCCUCCACAGCACAUUGAAUCUGGGGAGAGCAGCCCUGGGCUGGCAGGCUGUCCCCAGGAUCCUGCAAGCCAGGGUUGCUUUGACUUGGCUCAAUGUGUUGCACUUCCAGGCACACAUGCAGAUGUGACACCCAGGAGCAAUUGCUCCAGAGUUUAUUCAUGAGCACUAAUGGUACAUGUAGACAUGCCCUGCAGUAGUCUUUUUAGUCCUGAAGAUGUGGGUUCAACAAGUUGUGUGGCCUCAGACACACCUCCAGUAGAAAUCUGCCCAUGCCUUAAAACCAGCACAAAUUCUAUACGUGCCCUGCCAAUUAGGGCUGAAAUAUCUCAUUAGAGCUGUAGGAGGCGUUUCUUUCAAGCAGCUGAGGUGCUGCUAUCAGUUCAAGCCAAUGGUGUAAAACAGUAUCUUUUUUCCAAACAUACUACAUUUCUGUCUCUUCCCCCGAGAGACAAAGCCCACUUUUGGGAGGGAAAAUCGUGUGUUCCACUAGUUUGGAGUAUAAAACUGAAUCACCUUUAUUCUGACACCGACUCCACUCUGGAUUUCAGUGAGUCAAUUAACUUUGCCCCUGCCUCAGUUUUGCUAGAGAUGAUAGCAUUUGCCUACCUCUGCAGCAGAUUGUGCAGAUUAAUUAAUGUUUGUACAGUGCUUUGAAAAUGAAAAAUGCUGUGUAAGUACUAGAUUUUAUUAAUAAAAAUAAUCAUAAUUUCAGAGGAUACAAGUCUAUCCUGCAACCUUUUCUAACAAGAUUUUUCCAUCUCCAACAACUGAACAUGUA